CCUACCUGGUUAAAUAAAGGUGUUCUCAACUAGCCUACCCGGUUAAAUAAAGGUGUUCUCAACUAGCCUACCCGGUUAAAUAAAGGUGUUCUCAACUAGCCUACCCGGUUAAAUAAAGGUGUUCUCAACUAGCCUACCUGGUUAAAUAAAGGUGUUCUCAACUAGCCUACCUGGUUAAAUAUAGGUGUUCUCAACUAGCCUACCUGGUUAAAUAAAGGUGUUCUCAACUAGCCUACCUGGUUAAAUAAAGGUGUUCUCAACUAGCCUACCUGGUUAAAUAAAGGUGUUCUCAACUAGCCUACCUGGUUAAAUAAAGGUGUUCUCAACUAGCCUACCUGGUUAAAUAAAGGUGUUCUCAACUAGCCUACCUGGUUAAAUAAAGGUGUUCUCAACUGGCCUACCCGGUUAAAUAAAGGUGUUCUCAACUAGCCUACCCGGUUAAAUAAAGGUGUUCUCAACUAGCCUACCCGGUUAAAUAAAGGUGUUCUCAACUAGCCUACCUGGUUAAAUAAAGGUGUUCUCAACUAGCCUA